AACGAACGCUGGCGGCAUGCCUAACACAUGCAAGUCGAACGAACCCUUCGGGGUUAGUGGCGCACGGGUGCGUAACGCGUGGGAAUCUGCCCUUUGCUUCGGAAUAACAGUUAGAAAUGACUGCUAAUACCGGAUGAUGUCUUCGGACCAAAGAUUUAUCGGCAAGGGAUGAGCCCGCGUAGGAUUAGGUAGUUGGUGGGGUAAAGGCCUACCAAGCCGACGAUCCUUAGCUGGUCUGAGAGGAUGAUCAGCCACACUGGGACUGAGACACGGCCCAGACUCCUACGGGAGGCAGCAGUGGGGAAUAUUGGACAAUGGGCGCAAGCCUGAUCCAGCAAUGCCGCGUGAGUGAUGAAGGCCUUCGGGUCGUAAAGCUCUUUUACCAGGGAUGAUAAUGACAGUACCUGGAGAAUAAGCUCCGGCUAACUCCGUGCCAGCCGCCGCGGUAA
rnacentral:rRNA from 1 species